rnacentral:lncRNA from 12 species
UUUCCGGGUGGCGGUCACAGGCUUCCAGGUGCAAGCACUUUUCAGGUCUCAGCUGGCAUCACAGUAGUUAUUGUCCCCUUGGCCAACGCCAGUCACGUGGAUAAGCCUUGAGUCAGUGCGGUAGGGAAACGCUCAAGGGCGUAGCUGCCGGGAGGUGUGAACAAGUCAGAGGCCAUCCUGCCACAGCCUGUCGCAGUCGGCGUCCGGGUCCCCUAGAGAUGCCUACCCACCACCCCCCAUCUUUAAAUGCAGAAAUCCUUUGAGGUUGCAUGACUCAAGAACUGAAAUCCGAGGAUCAUCAUUUGCUCCCCAAAGGUAUUUUAUCAACCAGCAUUGCCUUAAGAUAAACAUUUCUUUCUGAUAGUCUCUUAAUUCUUCGGGUUGGAAGGACAAGAAAGACUCAGAAUCAACAAAUUGAAAGCACUACAUACUCUUAGUAUUAAUUCGAGGAGCAGAAUGAAACAUUAUGUGGAAUUCCGUACGGAACUUGACG